rnacentral:rRNA from 1 species
AAAUUCAAUAUUAUUCAAUGUGAUUUUUUUAAAAAUUAUAUUGAAUAGUAUGCACUUUUCUCAUAGUAAGACAUUGUAAUCCAUUGAUAUUAUAUCUUUAUUUAUUUAAAGAUGAUUUAACAUACGGACAAAAUGUAUAUGAUUAUUCUAUCAAUGAUAUGUUUUGCAUAUCAUAUGAAUAAAAGCGUUUUGUACCUGUUUAAAUAGUCGAUGGAUUUUUUAAUUAAAAUCAUGCUUGCAAUUUAUUUUGCAUUUCGUAUCAUUAAUUUUUAAUUGAUGAUAGCAGAAAUGGCAUGUAUUUGAUUAACAAUGCGAUAGAUUUGGGAUGCCUUCGGGACCCGUCUUGA